AGUUCAGAUUGCAGGCUGCAACCCGCCUGCAUGAAGUCGGAAUUGCUAGUAAUCGCGGAUCAGCAUGCCGCGGUGAAUACGUUCCUGGGCCUUGUACACACCGCCCGUCACACCAUGGGAGCCGGUAAUACCCGAAGUCAGUAGUCCAACCUCGUGAGGACGCUGCCGAAGGUAGGAUUGGCGACUGGGGUGAAGUCGUAACAAGGUACC
rnacentral:rRNA from 1 species